rnacentral:rRNA from 1 species
UAGAUACCCUGGUAGUCCUAGCUGUAAACGAUGAUCACUGGGUGUGGGGAUGAGAAAUCUCUGUGCCGAAGCAAAAGCGAUAAAGUGAUCCGCCUGGGGAGUACGUACGCAAGUAUGAAACUCAAAGGAAUUGACGGGGACCCGCACAAGUGGUGGAGCAUGUGGUUUAAUUCGACGCAACGCGAGGAACCUUACCAGGUCUUGACAUACUCGGAAUCUGUUAGAAGUAACGGAGUGCCUUCGGGAACCG